rnacentral:rRNA from 1 species
AUUGAACGCUAGCGGGAUGCCUAACACAUGCAAGUCGAGCGAGCGGCGGACGGGUGAGUAAUAUAUGGGAAUGUGCCCGGUAGAGGGGGAUAACUACUGGAAACGGUGGCUAAUACCGCAUACUAUCGGAGCAACCCAUAUGGGAUUAGCUAGUAGGUGGGGUAAAGGCUCACCUAGGCGACGAUCUCUAGCUGGUCUGAGAGGAUGACCAGCCACACUGGGACUGAGACACGGCCCAGACUCCUACGGGAGGCAGCAGUGGGGAAUCUUCGGCAAUGGGCGAAAGGCUGAUCGAGCAAUGCCGCGUGAGUGAAGAAGGUCUUAGGAUCGUAAAGCACUGUCGUUGGAGAAGCGUUAUCUGACCAGAAAGCCCCGGCUAACUACGUGCCAGCCGCCGCGGUAAUUC